AUUGAACGCUGGCGGCAGGCUUAACGCAUGCAAGUCGAGCGGAGAUGAGGUGCUUGCACCUUAUCUUAGCGGCGGACGGGUGAGUAAUGCUUAGGAAUCUGCCUAUUAGUGGGGGACAACAUUCCGAAAGGAAUGCUAAUACCGCAUACGUCCUACGGGAGAAAGCAGGGGAUCUUCGGACCUUGCGCUAAUAGAUGAGCCUAAGUCGGAUUAGCUAGUUGGUGGGGUAAAGGCCUACCAAGGCGACGAUCUGUAGCGGGUCUGAGAGGAUGAGCCGCCACACUGGGACUGAGACACGGCCCAGACUCCUACGUGAGGCAGCAGUGGGGAAUAUUGGACAAUGGGGGGAACCCUGAUCCAGCCAUGCCGGGUGUGUGAAGAAGGCCUUAUGGUUGUAAAGCACUUUAAGCGAGGAGGAGGCUACUGAGACUAAUACUCUUGGAUAGUGGAUGUUACUCGCAGAAUAAGCACCGGCUAACUCUGUGCCAGCCGCCGCCGUAAGAC
rnacentral:rRNA from 1 species